GGAAGAAGACGACGAAGCUGAUGAGGAGAAAGAAAAUAAAAGAAUCGAUCGGCUCGACGCCGCCAACGUGAUCGGGAAGACGGAGGACCGGCAAACACGGAGGUCCUGCAAUAGACCAUGGGAACACCGCUGCUACGAACGACUCCACCAACCACUGCUGAGAGCGAAGGAUCAACGGAGAGGCACUUAACGGCCCACUUACUCACUUGGCACUCUCUCACCCUCACACGAGCAUCCCCCCCCCCUGGAAGAAGAACGGAUUUGGCAGAGCACCGACAGCUAACUGCCUCGUAAAUGGACCCAGGCACGGAGGAUCCACUGACAACCACUGGAGACCAAUUUCCAGAUAAUAGGCAACACAAGCGGACGAGUCAUUCCGAGAUCAUCAUUUUUUGUUCUGUUAACCACCAUCGAGUUGUAGAGCAAAACGCUAACAACACCGCGAAAUGAAAAAAAUCAACGAGUUCUGGAUUAGGUAUAGAAAAUCAAGCACUUUCAUAAAAACGAGAACGGGAUAGAAGAGCAUCGAAGUCGACGAAAACACAACUAGAUAACAACAGCACACCGUGUAUCAUAGAUCAAGAAGCCAUAGAUUAAUAAAAGUAAAAGGAUAUGUCUGGCCACAAGGGUACUUGCGAUGGAGGCGAUCAGCUGAAUUGAUUUCUCUGUUGACAGAAACGGCAUUUUAAAAAUAGCGCAAUCACCAGAUUGGAGUCGUCAUCAAAAACAAUCCAAAGUUCACUAAGCCUCAAAUCAAUCAGAUUUUUCAACAGUUAUGAACCAAGAGUAAUUUAUAUUAUUUGAGACACAUCCUUCAGUUUUGCAAGAUUGAUUUACAGAUGAGAAAUAGUACAUCAUUAUUUGACAAAUUUCAACGAACGAAGAAAACAAUGUUUUGUUUUUCAUAGCAACCGAUACCAAAAUAGCUUAUCAUCAUUACAGCACAAAACAACCAGACAAUUAAAAGCUUGGUAAUAAAUUGGUCAACCAACCAAUUUUUACCACCAAUAGAAAAAUAUAUCACAAAAAAAGUAAAGAAUGCAAAAUCAAGGCGACUCCAAAUGGCUACUGGAAAAACAAGUUUUAUAAAUUUUUAUCUCUCUUCGAGCUUUGACAACAAACUACGGGAAAAAAACAAAAACACAUCUUCAAGACUAUGCUUUUGAAUGAGCAUAUUAGAACCACACUUGGAAAACAAUAGUCACUGCAAGAGAAGCACCUCUAAAUUAUGUUACAAAAUCACAAUUUUUAUUUACAGAGAUGAAUUAAUAACUUUUCAAGACACUUUAUACUACCGAGAACAAUCGCUGACAUCGUAAAGUACUGAGUCAAUGAACCACUUGACAAAAUUAGCAUACUCAAUUCAAAGCACAAGUCUCCGAUAAUCUCGUCGCUCUCGGCUCGGCUUCAGAUUUUUUAGAUUCCGUUUCUUCCUUUAAUUAGAAUUUAGUCCAAAGAAGAUUCCGUUUAUCUUACGCCCCGAUAAAAAAAUAUUUUUCAGAAUCUAAAAUCAAGUUCCGACCGAAAGGGUAUCAAUGGAAAUUUACCAUCAAGACCAAUCAAAAUCAAUCCAAGGCGACGAUGCAUUUCGGUAAGCAAACAACAAGCAACGUGAAACCAAAAAAUGCGCCUACAGCAUAGGCGUGACGAAGCACAGUUGAAGAAAACCUCACAGGCAAAAAAAGUAUUCGCAAACUGAAGAUUCCUUCGGAGCGAAUUUAUCAAUCACGUGGGCAUUUUUACGUUUAUUCAUCGUGGGACGCUUUCUCUCGUCGAGGACCGCCACCGUCGUUGGAUGAUAUCAUCACUUU